UACAGAGGUCCCAAGCGUUGUUCGGAUUCACUGGGCGUAAAGGGUGCGUAGGCGGGUUUUUAAGUCAGGGGUGAAAUCCUGGAGCUCAACUCCAGAACUGCCUUUGAUACUGAAGAUCUUGAGUCCGGGAGAGGUGAGUGGAACUGCGAGUGUAGAGGUGAAAUUCGUAGAUAUUCGCAAGAACACCAGUGGCGAAGGCGGCUCACUGGCCCGAUACUGACGCUGAGGUGCGAAAGCGUGGGGAGCAAACAGG
rnacentral:rRNA from 1 species